GGGGCUGCACUGGUUUCGACGUGGGUUCGGACGCGCAGCAGGGCAUGUCGAGGUUCUGUCACCUCGUUAAACCGCAGAAAAAAAACUAACUGCAAA
rnacentral:tmRNA from 1 species